rnacentral:rRNA from 1 species
AUUGAACGCUGGCGGCAUGCUUUACACAUGCAAGUCGAACGGUAACAGGCCGCAAGGUGCGGACGAGUGGCGAACGGGUGAGUAAUGCAUUGGAACGUGCCCAGUCGUGGGGGAUAACGCAGCGAAAGCUGCGCUAAUACCGCAUACGAUCUAUGGAUGAAAGCGGGGGACCGUAAGGCCUCGCGCGAUUGGAGCGGCCGAUGUCAGAUUAGGUAGUUGGUGGGGUAAAGGCUCACCAAGCCGACGAUCUGUAGCUGGUCUGAGAGGACGACCAGCCACACUGGGACUGAGACACGGCCCAGACUCCUACGGGAGGCAGCAGUGGGGAAUUUUGGACAAUGGGCGCAAGCCUGAUCCAGCAAUGCCGCGUGCAGGAAGAAGGCCUUCGGGUUGUAAACUGCUUUUGUACGGAACGAAACGGCUCUGGUUAAUACCUGGGGCUAAUGACGGUACCGUAAGAAUAAGCACCGGCUAACUACGUGCCAGCCGCCGCGGUAAUAC